rnacentral:rRNA from 1 species
UACGGAAGGCAGCAGUGGGGAAUAUUGCACAAUGGGCGCAAGCCUGAUGCAGCCAUGCCGCGUGUAUGAAGAAGGCCUUCGGGUUGUAAAGUACUUUCAGUCGUGAGGAAGGUGUUAAGGUUAAUAACCUUAGCAAUUGACGUUAGCGACAGAAGAAGCACCGGCUAACUCCGUGCCAGCAGCCGCGGUAAUACGGAGGGUGCGAGCGUUAAUCGGAAUUACUGGGCGUAAAGGGCACGCAGGCGGUUAAUUAAGUUGGAUGUGAAAUCCCCGGGCUUAACCUGGGGAUGGCAUUCAAGACUGGUUAGCUAGAGUCUUGUAGAGGGGGUAGAAUUCCAUGUGUAGCGGUGAAAUGCGUAGAGAUGUGGAGGAAUACCGGUGGCGAAGGCGGCCCCUGGACAAAGACUGACGCUCAUGUGCGAAAGCGUGGGGAGCAAACAGGGAUUAGAUACC